rnacentral:rRNA from 1 species
ACACAUGCAAGUCGAGCGGCAGCACGGGUACUUGUACCUGGUGGCGAGCGGCGGACGGGUGAGUAAUGCCUAGGAAUCUGCCUAGUAGUGGGGGAUAACGUCCGGAAACGGGCGCUAAUACCGCAUACGUCCUACGGGAGAAAGUGGGGGAUCUUCGGACCUCACGCUAUUAGAUGAGCCUAGGUCGGAUUAGCUAGUUGGUGAGGUAAUGGCUCACCAAGGCGACGAUCCGUAACUGGUCUGAGAGGAUGAUCAGUCACACUGGAACUGAGACACGGUCCAGACUCCUACGGGAGGCAGCAGUGGGGAAUAUUGGACAAUGGGCGAAAGCCUGAUCCAGCCAUGCCGCGUGUGUGAAGAAGGUCUUCGGAUUGUAAAGCACUUUAAGUUGGGAGGAAGGGCAGUUACCUAAUGCGUGAUUGUUUUGACGUUACCGACAGAAUAAGCACCGGCUAACUCUGUGCCAGCAGCCGCGGUAAUACAGAGGGUGCAAGCGUUAAUCGGAAUUACUGGGCGUAAAGCGCGCGUAGGUGGUUUGUUAAGUUGGAUGUGAAAGCCCCGGGCUCAACCUGGGAACUGCAUCCAAAACUGGCAAGCUAGAGUAUGGUAGAGGGUGGUGGAAUUUCCUGUGUAGCGGUGAAAUGCGUAGAUAUAGGAAGGAACACCAGUGGCGAAAGCGACCACCUGGACUGAUACUGACACUGAGGUGCGAAAGCGUGGGGAGCAAACAGGAUUA